rnacentral:rRNA from 1 species
UACAGAGGUCUCAAGCGUUGUUCGGAUUCAUUGGGCGUAAAGGGUGCGUAGGCGGCGCGGUAAGUCGGGUGUGAAAUCUCGGAGCUUAACUCCGAAACUGCAUUCGAUACUGCCGUGCUUGAGGACUGGAGAGGAGACUGGAAUUUACGGUGUAGCGGUGAAAUGCGUAGAUAUCAGGAGGAACACCUAUGGCGAAGGCAGCUCGCUGGGACGUUACUGACGCUGAGACGCGAAAGCGUGGGGAGCAAACAGG